ensembl:lncRNA
AUGUUGCAUGAGAAACUUUGUAGCCUAGAGAAAAGCGAACCGCAUCCACAAACCACGCUCUGCUCUGUUGUGUGUACAGGGACGUGUUCUCAUUUUAACGCUCUCUCCUGUGACGAGUGUCUGCAGCUGGGGCCACGGUGCGCCUGGUGCACACUACAGAAUUUCACCGACUUUUUCUCAAUCAAUGAGAGAUGCGACACACCAGAGGCUCUUCUUCAGAAAGGAUGCUCCGGCAAAUUUGUGGAGUUCCCCGUCACGAAUGUCAAAGUGCUGAAGGAUCAAGGCUUAGGAAAGAGUGCCAACCACACUAAUGUUUCAUACGUCGCACCGCAGAAGAUGCGCCUCCAGCUAAGGCCAGGAAGUCAGCUGACCUUUCAAAUUCAAGUGCAGGAACCGGAGGACCAUCCGGUGGACAUUUAUUACCUGAUGGACCUGUCAGCAUCUAUGAUUGAUGAUCUGAAAAUGAUCAAAGACUUGGGUUCGAUGCUCUCCAAAGAGAUGGCUACGCUUACCAGCAAAUUCAGAUUAGGAUUCGGUUCCUUUGUGGAGAAACCAGUUCUGCCUUUCAUCAAAAUAACACACGAAGAGUUGGCCAAUCCCUGCAGGAGUGUUGAUUAUGAAUGUCUCCCAACAUUUGGAUACAGACAUCUUCUGUCAUUAACAAGCAGUAUUGACAAGUUUAAUGAGAUCAUCUCAAAGCAGCAGGUAUCGGCGAACAUCGACGUGCCAGAGGGCGGUUUUGACGCCAUCAUGCAGGCUGCGGUGUGCGGGGACAGGAUUGGCUGGCAGAACAAUUCCAUGAAGCUGCUGGUGUUUGUGAGCGAUGCAGAUUCUCAUUUUGGGAUGGACAGCAAAAUGUCCGGCAUCGUUGUCCCCAAUGACGGAGAGUGUUACCUGGACGACAACAAUGAGUAUUCAAUGACUGCCCAUCUGGAGUAUCCAACAUUAGGGCAGCUUGUCGAAAAACUGGUUGAAAACAAUAUCCUGCUCAUAUUCGCUGUGACCGACAAUCAGAGACAGAACUACGAGAAUUAUGCAAGUCUGAUUCCUGGUGCUACUGUGGGGGUGUUGGCAUCCGAUUCAAGGAACAUUCUGGAGCUCAUCAUGACCUCAUAUAAGGAACUGAGGUCUGAGAUUGAUCUGGAGGUUCUGGGCAACACUGAGGGUCUGCAGAUUUCCUUCACAGCACUCUGUCAGGAUGGGACCAUCAUCCCUGGAUGUAAAAACUGCUCCAAUGUCAAAGCUGGUGAUGUGGUAUCUUUUAAUGUUACGGUCGAGUUAAAAGGCUGUCUUGCUGGUCCACGACGGUUUUCCUUGCGCCCUGUGGGUUUCCAAGAUGCCCUGGAGAUCGAACUGGAGUCUCAGUGUGUGUGUGACUGUCAUCAAACCCCUGAAGCGAGCAGUGCCUUCUGCAGCCGAGGGCGUGGGGCGCUGGAGUGCGGCACCUGUGUGUGUGAUCCAGGCUUUGUGGGGCCCAAGUGUGAGUGCACAGAGGGUCAAGAACAAAUCAGUGACUGUGCGGAGAUGUGCAGCGGACUGGGCGAGUGUUUCUGCGGACAGUGUGUGUGCCACCCGUCCAGUUUCGGUCGUGUGUAUGGGCCGUACUGCGAGUGCGACAACUUUUCCUGCCUCAGGUUCAGAGGAGAGCUUUGCGGAGUGGGGGAAAAGAAAGUGCUGUCAGGGUGGGAGGGAUAUUUGAUCUGCUCUCGCACUUGUGUGUGUGGGAAGUGCGAGUGCACCGUUCCCGGAGCCUCAGGAGAGUGGUGCCAAAGGUGCCCAACCUGUGGAGAUAUCUGUAGCUUACCCAGAACAUGUAUUAAGAAAAUAAAAAUUCGGGCGACAUUUUGCACCUUACAGAGUGAGGACCACUGUCUACUGUCUUUCAGCUUGGUGGACAGUGAUCAUGGCAGCAUCAUUUACAACACCAAGCUUCAUGACUGCCCUGAGCCUCCAAACGCUCCGUUGAUCGCUCUGGGCGUGUGCAUGUCUGUCCUCAUUAUUGGCAUUAUGCUCCUUGUGAUCUGGAAGUUUCUUGUUUCUGUCCAUGACCGGAAAGAGGUUGCCAAGUUUGAGGCAGAGAAGGCAAAAGCAAAAUGGCAGUCGGGCACGAAUCCUCUUUUCAGGAGCUCGACAUCAACAUUUAAAAAUGUGACCUACAAAAGCAGAGGGCAGCAAAAUACUUAUAUUUCUUAGGUCUACUGACCAAUUUUGUGUGUUGAAACACAGAAAGUAGGCUUCUUUUUACAAGGAGCGAUUACUGUUUUUUUUCCUUAUUUUCUUGUACUGUACAAGUGAGACACUGUGUGUGUGUGUGGGUGUGCGCAUGUUUAUGUGGUUUAUGAGGACACAAAUUUGUAUAAUGACAUGGGUGUGACACAGAUAUUACAAUAUGAAGGUGAUUUAUGAGGACACUACCAGUGUCGCAGUAAUUCAAAAGGCUUAAAAAAAAACAUACAAAAUGGUGUGUUUUUGAAAAUCUAAUAAAGUACAAAGUUUUCUGUGAGGGGUAUGUUUA